GACGAACGCUGGCGGCCGGCUUAACACAUGCAAGUCGAGCGGGGUGAUGGUGCUUGCACUAUCACUUAGCGGCGGACGGGUGAGUAAUGCUUAGGAAUCUGCCUAUUAGUGGGGGACAACAUCUCGAAGGGGAUGCUAAUACCGCAUACGUCCUACGGGAGAAAGCAGGGGAUCACUUGUGACCUUGCGCUAAUAGAUGAGCCUAAGUCGGAUUAGCUAGUUGGUGGGGUAAAAGCCUACCAAGGCGACGAUCUGUAGCGGGUCUGAGAGGAGGAUCCGCCACACUGGGACUGAGACACGGCCCAGACUCCUACGGGAGGCAGCAGUGGGGAAUAUUGGACAAUGGGGGGAACCCUGAUCCAGCCAUGCCGCGUGUGUGAAGAAGGCCUUAUGGUUGUAAAGCACUUUAAGCGAGGAGGAGGCUCUUUUGGUUAAUACCCAAGAUGAGUGGACGUUACUCGCAGAAUAAGCACCGGCUAACUCUGUGCCAGCAGCCGCGGUAA
rnacentral:rRNA from 1 species